rnacentral:rRNA from 1 species
CCUACGGGUGGCAGCAGUGAGGAAUAUUGGUCAAUGGGCGCGAGCCUGAACCAGCCAAGCCGCGUGAGGGAUGAAGGUCCUACGGGUUGUAAACUUCUUUUGUAAGGGAAUAAAGUCAGGCACGUGUGCCUUUUUGUAUGUACUUUAUGAAUAAGGAUCGGCUAACUCCGUGCCAGCAGCCGCGGUAAUACGGAGGAUGCGAGCGUUAUCCGGAUUUAUUGGGUUUAAAGGGAGCGUAGGUGGGUUGUUAAGUCAGUUGUGAAAGUUUGGGGCUCAACCGUAAAAUUGCAAUUGAUACUGGCAGUCUUGAGUAGAGUAGAGGUAGGCGGAAUUCGUGGUGUAGCGGUGAAAUGCUUAGAUAUCACGAAGAACUCCGAUUGCGAAGGCAGCUUACUA